AACGCUGAAGGAAGGAGCUUGCUCUUUCCGGAUGAGUUGCGAACGGGUGAGUAACGCGUAGGUAACCUGCCUGGUAGCGGGGGAUAACUAUUGGAAACGAUAGCUAAUACCGCAUAACAGUAGAUAUCGCAUGAUAACUACUUGAAAGGUGCAAUUGCACCACUACCAGAUGGACCUGCGUUGUAUUAGCUAGUUGGUGAGGUAACGGCUCACCAAGGCAACGAUACAUAGCCGACCUGAGAGGGUGAUCGGCCACACUGGGACUGAGACACGGCCCAGACUCCUACGGGAGGCAGCAGUAGGGAAUCUUCGGCAAUGGACGGAAGUCUGACCGAGCAACGCCGCGUGAGUGAAGAAGGUUUUCGGAUCGUAAAGCUCUGUUGUAAGAGAAGAACGAGUGUGAGAGUGGAAAGUUCACACUGUGACGGUAUCUUACCAGAAAGGGACGGCUAACUACGUGCCAGCAGCCGCGGUAAUACGUAGGUCCCGAGCGUUGUCCGGAUUUAUUGGGCGUAAAGCGAGCGCAGGCGGUUAGAUAAGUCUGAAGUUAAAGGCUGUGG
rnacentral:rRNA from 1 species